rnacentral:rRNA from 1 species
GCUAAACAGCUAGCCUAACCACACAAACUAACCAAAACAACAUUAAAACAUUUUACAAACCCCAAACAACUUAAAUUAAAACAUUUUACCGCCCUAGUACGUGAGACAGAAAAGGCAACAACUAGAGCCAUAGAAAAAGUACCGCAAGGGAACGCUGAAAGAGAAAUGAAACAAAUCAUCAAAGCAUAACAAAGCAGAGACUAACCCUCGUACCUUUUGCAUCAUGAUUUAGCCAGCCCCCCUGAGCAAAGCGCCCUUUAGUUCAAGACCCCGAAACUAAGUGAGCUACCCCGAGACAGUCUAUUAAUUAGGACCAACCCGUCUCUGUGGCAAAAGAGUGGGAAGAGCUCCGGGUAGAGGUGACAGACCUACCGAACUUAGUUAUAGCUGGUUGCCUAAGAAAUGAAUAGAAGUUCAGCUUCGCACUCCUCAGCUCACAACUAUUUCUAAUAACAUAAGAGUCAGAGCAACAUGCGAAAGUUAAUCAAAAGAGGUACAGCUCUUUUGAAACAGGACACAACCUUACCAGGAGGUUAAAGAUUACAUUAUACAAGAUACACCGCUCUAGUGGGCCUAAAAGCAGCCAUCUAGACAGAAAGCGUUAAAGCUCGGGCGGAUCAAUAAAUCUAUUAUCCAAAUAUCCAAUCUAAUACCCCUAAUCAUAUUAGGCCAUUCCAUGCAGGCAUGGAAGAGAUACUGCUAAAAUGAGUAAUAAGAAGGCACCCCCUUCUCCCGGCCCACGUGUAUGCUAGAUCGGACCCCCCACUAGCAAUUAUCGAACCCAAUCAUAGAGGGCAAUGUGAACACAUUAAACACCAAGAAAUUCUCACACAACCCAAUCGUUACCCCCACACCGGAGGGCCCAAAAACUAGGGAAAGACUAAAAGAAAAGGAAGGAACUCGGCAAACACAAGCCUCGCCUGUUUACCAAAAACAUCGCCUCCUGCAAACCUCAACGUAUAGGAGGUCUUGCCUGCCCAGUGACAAGUUAAACGGCCGCGGUAUUUUGACCGUGCGAAGGUAGCGCAAUCACUUGUCUUUUAAAUGAAGACCUGUAUGAAUGGUGGAACGAGGGCUUAACUGUCUCCCUUUUCAGGUCAAUGAAAUUGAUCUGCCCGUGCAGAAGCGGACAUAUAAAUACAAGACGAGAAGACCCUUUGGAGCUUAAGAUACAAGAUCAAUUACGUCAAGAACCUGGCACCAAGUUAAACUAAGUAAAAACUGAUCCACAUCUUCAGUUGGGGCGACCGCGGGAGAAAAUAAAGCUCCCACGCGGACCGGGGUUUUAACCCUAAAACCAAGAGAGACAUCUCCAAGUCACAGAAUAUCUGACCAUAAAGAUCCGGCUAACUGCCGAUCAACGAACCAAGUUACCCUAGGGAUAACAGCGCAAUCCUCUUCCAGAGUCCAUAUCGACAAGAGGGUUUACGACCUCGAUGUUGGAUCAGGACAUCCUAAUGGUGCAGCCGCUAUUAAGGGUUCGUUUGUUCAACGAUUAAAGUCCUACGUGAUCUGAGUUCAGACCGGAGCAAUCCAGGUCAGUUUCUAUCUGUAACGCUACUUCUUUCUAGUACGAAAGGACCGAGAGAAGGGGGCCUAUAUCAUAAGACACGCCCCACCCUCACCCAAUGACAUCAACUAAAUUAGACAAAAGGAGCGCACAAACCCACAUCAAGAUAAGAUUA